rnacentral:lncRNA from 1 species
CGGAAGUGUUGAAGGCAAAGGAAAUGAUUCAUAUUCAAGAAGUGAUUUUGGUAUGUGAAAUUUUAAUUAUAGUAACUCAAAAGACAUUGAAAUGUUUUUAAUUUUGUAUGUUUGUUCUUAAUGUAUUGUUUAUUCUGAUUUAUUAAAUAUUUUUUGUGAUUCUGUUGAUAGAUUUGAAAACUUCUCUUUUAAAUAUUAUCAACAUACUAAGUUGGUCUUGUGAGUCUUGCUCAUGGUAAAAAAAAUUCAUGCGCAGAUGUUAAAGUCAAAAUUCAAUGAUGAUUGAUGAUGUGUACGUUUUGUCAGUUUUGAUCACAAUGUACAUGAAAUGUGGCGAUCUUUGUUGCUGCCAAAAGAGUGUUUGAUAGGUUUCUGCAUAAAGACAGUGUGAUGUGGAAUUCUAUGAUAACAGGUUAAGCACAACACGGUUUGGGAGGAGAAGCUCUACUCGUGUUUCAAGAGAUGUAUUCUUCAGGCAUUGUUGUAGACGAUGUUACAUUUGUUGGAAUUCUCUCGGCCUGUAGUUAUUCUGGACUACUCAAAGAGGGGAAUGAAAUCUUUUAAGUCCAUGAAAUCAAAUAUUCGACAGAGCCUUCCUCAAAAACAUUAUGCUUGCACGGUUGAUUUGUUGGGGCAAGCUGGUCGCUUUAGCGAGGUUAUGAAUCUAAUUAAUGUUAUGCUAAUGGAAGCAGAUGCAAUUGUUUGGGAUUCUGUAAUGGGUGCAUGUAGGACACACUGACACUUAGAUUUAGCUGAAGUAGUAGCGAGGAAACAUCUAGGACUCGAGCCAAAAAAUGCUGGACCUUGUAUCCUUCUAUCAAACAUUUCCGCAUCAAAAGGCAAAUGGUCAAAUGUUGCCCGACUGAGGUAAAACAUGCAAUGUAGAAAGGUGAGCAAGCCACCUAGCUGUAGCUGUUUUAGGUAGAAAAGGU